GGCGGAUGUAGCCAAGUGGAUCAAGGCAUGGAUUGUGAAUCCACCAUGCGCG
rnacentral:tRNA from 1 species